rnacentral:lncRNA from 1 species
UUUUUUUUUUUUUUCUCCACAGGGUGAGUUCUAUGCCUGGGGAAUUAAAACAAUUUUUAAAAAAGAGAUAAGGUCUCUCUAUGUUGCCCAGACUGGUCUUGACCUCCUGGCCUCAAGUGAUCCUCCUGCCUCGUCCUCCUCAGUAGCUGAGAUUAUAGGCAUGAGCCACUGUUCCCACCUCCAGUUGCUGAGUUUUGACCAAUGAAUGCAGUUAUGUAAUAAGUAUACACUCCUGCUUUAGACUACAGUCCCUGUUAAGAUGAAGAACAUCUCCAGGACCCCUGCAAAGUCCCCUUAUGCCCCUUCCCAAAUGAUCCCCACCUCCACUCCACCCCCAGAGGCAAUCAUGGUUUUGAUAUUUUUAUACCUUUACUUUAAAUUUUCAGGGUGGAUGACAGGUGUGUGAUGGGAGGGACCUUAGUUAAAUUUUGUGGUUGGCAGCUAGAAUUGAAAAAAGAAAAAACCUCAUUGCGGCCAGGCGCGGUGGCUCACGCCUGUAAUCCCAGCACCUUGGGAAGCCGAGCUGGGCAGAUAGCUUGAGGUCAGGAGUUUGAGACCAGCCUGGCCAGCACAGUGAAAUCCCAUCUCUACUAAAAAUACAAAAGUUAGCCUGGUGUGGUAGUGGGCACCUGUAAUCCCAACUACCUGGGAGGCUGAGGCAGGAGAAUCGCUGGAACCAGGAGGCUGCAGUGAGCUGAGAUGGCACCACUGCACUCCAGCCUGGGCAGCAGAGCGAGACUCCAUCUUAAUUAAAAAAAAAAAGAAAGAAAACCUCGUUGCUCCCGCCUACAGAAUAUGGAUACCUAAUGAACGUGAUCACACACAGCAAUGACCAGCUUGGAGGGAAGGAGGGACCCUCAGUGCUGAGAGUUGGGACAGUGUCCACUGAGGGCCCUGGUCCUAGCACUGAAUGAGCCAGGCUGUUUCAAUUCCUGGACAAGCACUGGUUCACCCAUUGUGUGUGGACCCCUUACCCUGGCUGCCUCAUGUAGGAUGCUGUUGGCUGCACGUAAGAAAGAACAAAUUCCAAACAUCUUAAAACAAUAAGGACAUGUAUUAUUUUACAGAACUGCUAGUCCCCCAAAGGCGGGGAGGUUCUCCAGGGGUCAAUGCAUCAGUCAAAUGACGGUCUUAUAGACUCAGGCUCCUCAGCAUGUGGGUAACAUCAUCCCUCAUGGUGGUAACGUGGCUGCCACAGCCCCAGCCAUCAUUUCCUGUAGAUGCAAAGCAUCACAACCAUAUACUUCCUCUUGCUAAAAUCCUACUCUACCCAUUUCCUUUCUGUAUUUUCAGUGUUUAGCCUCUCUGAUUCUGCUCUUACUACUAACUCAUGGGAUUUCAAAUCAUGGGGAUUAUAGGCUCUCCGAAGUGCUAAUGAAAGAAAUUGCAGAAAGAAAAGAAGAAAAAUGAUGUCUUUCUCUGUGGCUUCAGAAAACCAGACACUCCUCAGCAUCAUAAAACUCUGUUUGCAAAUAUUCUUUGCAGGCCGCAGGGACAUCAGAGAUCAUCAGUAUGUCUUAUCAAAGGAAACUUUAACAUUGCAGCAUCUGUGAUUCGGAUUUAUCGCCCUAGGACUAAUACUUAAAUUGCAUGUAGAUUCUGAAAAGGAUAAAUAUUUGUGAAUUUUCUGUUAAACCAGAGGAAUAUUUUUACCACCCCCUCUUCUUCAAUGUGGAUGUAGGGAGAACAAAAACAUGUGAUGCUGUUAGAACUCUGCUCUAGACUAAGAGUUUGAGCGCCCAGUUUCAGCCAGCUAAUGCUUCCUCACACUGUCACAUUCUCUCUGCGAGGCAAAGAAAUAGUUUAUUUCUCUUACAUUACUUUUUUUUUUUUCUUUUUGUGAGAUAGGAUCUCUCUCUGUCACAUAGGCUGGAGUGCAGUCGUGUGAUUAUGAUUCACUGCAGCCUUGAU